rnacentral:tRNA from 1 species
UAGAACAUAGUAUAAUGGAAGUACGAGGAGUUUUGAUCUCCUAGGUGUAGGUUCAAGUCCUAUUUUUCUAA